rnacentral:rRNA from 1 species
CCCUGCCAUUUGUACACACCGCCCGUCGCUACUACCGAUUGGACGUACGAGUGAGGUUUCUGGACCGGCUCCGUGGGUGCUUUGCAGCCAUCGGAAUUGGAAAGUUAACCAAAUUUGAGCGUCUAGAG